GAUGAACGCUAGCGGCAGGCCUAACACAUGCAAGUCGAGGGGGAGGUUACUUUCGGGUAUCUGAGACCGGCGUACGGGUGCGUAACGCGUAUACAAUCUGCCUUUCACUGGGGGAUAGCCCGAAGAAAUUUGGAUUAAUACCCCAUAGUAUAGUAAUACGGCAUCGUGAUGCUAUUAAAGCUUAGGUGGUGAAAGUUGAGUAUGCGUUCUAUUAGCUAGUUGGAGAGGUAACGGCUCCCCAAGGCGAUGAUAGAUAGGGGUUCUGAGAGGGAUGUCCCCCACACUGGUACUGAGAUACGGACCAGACUCCUACGGGAGGCAGCAGUGAGGAAUAUUGGACAAUGGUCGGAAGACUGAUCCAGCCAUGCCGCGUGCAGGAUGAAGGUCUUAUGGAUUGUAAACUGCUUUUGUAAGGGAAGAAUAAGGGCUACGCGUAGUUUGAUGACGGUACCUUACGAAUAAGCAUCGGCUAACUCCGUG
rnacentral:rRNA from 1 species